UGCAGUCGAGCGAUUAAAGCUCUCUUCGGAGAGUGCAUAGAGUGGCGCACGGGUGAGUAACACGUAAGUAAUCUACCUUCGAGUGGGGAAUAACGUCCGGAAACGGGCGCUAAUACCGCAUAAUGCAGCGGCAUCGCGAGAUGACAGUUGUUAAAGGAGCAAUCCGCUUGAAGAGGAGCUUGCGGCAGAUUAGCUAGUUGGUAGGGUAAUGGCCUACCAAGGCUACGAUCUGUAACCGGUCUUAGAGGACGGUCGGUCACACUGACACUGAAUAACGGGUCAGACUCCUACGGGAGGCAGCAGUCGGGAAUUUUGGGCAAUGGGGGAAACCCUGACCCAGCAACGCCGCGUGAAGGAUGAAGUAUUUCGGUAUGUAAACUUCGAAAGAAUAGGAAGAAUUAAUGACGGUACUAUUUAUAAGGUCCGGCUAACUACGUGCCAGCAGCCGCGGUAA
rnacentral:rRNA from 1 species